GUGGGGAAUAUUGGACAAUGGGGGGAACCCUGAUCCAGCCAUGCCGCGUGUGUGAAGAAGGCCUUUUGGUUGUAAAGCACUUUAAGCGAGGAGGAGGCUACCGAGAUUAAUACUCUUGGAUAGUGGACGUUACUCGCAGAAUAAGCACCGGCUAACUCCGUGCCAGCAGCCGCGGUAAUACGGAGGGUGCAAGCGUUAAUCGGAUUUACUGGGCGUAAAGCGCGCGUAGGUGGCCAAUUAAGUCAAAUGUGAAAUCCCCGAGCUUAACUUGGGAAUUGCAUUCGAUACUGGUUGGCUAGAGUAUGGGAGAGGAUGGUAGAAUUCCAGGUGUAGCGGUGAAAUGCGUAGAGAUCUGGAGGAAUACCGAUGGCGAAGGCAGCCAUCUGGCCUAAUACUGACACUGAGGUGCGAAAGCAUGGGGAGCAAACAGGAUUAGAAACCCUAGUAGUCC
rnacentral:rRNA from 1 species